AUUGCGGUGAUCAAAACAGAGUAUUGUUGGAGGAAAUAAACCAGGAUUUUGAAUUCCAGUGAGACACCUUUACUUUUUAAAAGUAUUUUGUCAGCUUAAAGUUUUGAUGAGGCAGUAAAGAUUUGCAGAAUCAAGACCUAAGAUGGGAGCCCUUUUCGAAAGAGACAACUUCAUUCACUGAAGAUACUGAAACAAAAACAGUGUCAUAAAUAACAUCCUUGUGAAGAGGUAUACUACCUCUUUAAGGGCCAGGACGGCCUGGGGGCAUAAUCAAGAGGCCCCAGCUCCACUGAAGGGCUGGGCUAUUUGGACAGGA